rnacentral:rRNA from 1 species
GACGAACCGUGCGACCGUUGUUCGGAAUCACUGGGCUUAAAGGGCGCGUAGGCGGGCCCGCAAGUCAGGGGUGAAAUCCCACGGCUCAACCGUGGAAGUGCCUUUGAUACUGCGGGUCUCGAGGGAGGUAGGGGCGUGCGGAACUUCCGGUGGAGCGGUGAAAUGCGUAGAUAUCGGAAGGAACACCGGUGGCGAAAGCGGCGCGCUGGACCUCUUCUGACGCUGAGGAGCGAAAGCCAGGGGAGCAAACGGG